rnacentral:lncRNA from 1 species
CAUGGAUUUUGGUCUCCUGGGGAACAUGUGGGUGCCUGAAUCCGAGGAUGCCAAGAAAAAAACUAUACUCUCAAGAAAGAAAUGGGGACUGGCCUCCGAUAUUUUAAUAUCCCUCUUUGAAAAGAUCUAUUCAUUUUUCUGGGGUGAAUUAUAGCUUGCGAUGAUUUGUCUUAUUAGUAUAACUCCAGAAGCUGAAUUUCUGUUUUUAAUUGGAAAGAAGUUGAUGGGUGUUUUCUUUUUAAAAUUCAUUUUUGGUUUUAGAAACAGGUCGAGUAGGUGAUUUAAUGAAUAUACGUAUUAAAUCCUUAUAAGUUUUACAUAGGUAAUCCAUGCACAUGGUAAGUAAUAUAAAUAUUAAAAAAGGUGUACAGAGAAAGAAAUAAGUCUUCCUCCUUAUCUCAGGAGCAGAAGAUCCUUAUUUUAUUAACAACUUGGUCUUGGGGGAACUGGAGAAGUUGAAGAGUUGAUGAUUUAGGGGAGCAUACCCCAAAGUGAGGUUUUCUAUGUGACAUCUCAGGAAAAAACAGGGUCCCUGGCCAGAGGCUGGAUGGGGUCAGGAAGACAAGGGAAAUAAAUGAUCACACACAAUUUAGAUAGUUGUUUGGCUGCUUCAUUUAGAAAAACUAGAAGGAAAAACAUGACACCCCACCACCACCACAAACAACAACAACAACAACAAUAACACCCCUCCAAAACAAACAAACAAACAAACAAAAAACCCACAGAGGAAUAGCAACGGGGCAAGAAUUGGAAGUUUGGAGUUACAGGUUGGACUCGUAUUGAAUUUUCUUCUGGAAUAGUUCACUAAGGUGUAUUCAUCAAUGACUUACGUACUUCCUCCUGUGCCGUUAUUUUCAGAGUAGUUGGCUAACACAGUGGAGUAACCAUUGUCUUUCUAUGUUUCAGAAAAUUCUGAUUUGGAUGAUGCCUCCAACGCUCAGCCAGGGACUUCACAUGCUCACCCUGUGCUUGCUCUGAGUCCAGCUGGACUCCCAUGUUUUGGGGUCCUCUGUGGGAUUCUGCACUCCAGGGGCAUCACCGAUCUCAUGUGAAUGGGUCAGCAGGGAAGAGUGGACCCCCAUAUUGUAUAUAGCUUCUCUGCUCAAGUGCAUGCUCCUGUAGGACUUCCCUUCUAAGCCCUAAGUUAAAAAAUAAUAUUAUUGAGAAUUUCAAGGUGGCAGCAGCAGAAUAUCACACCAAGUGCGAGACCCCUCUGGGCACCGGGGCCCGUGCAUCACCUGUGUAGCAAUCCCUGCUGAGGGGUCUUGAAACCAUGAGAUAAGCCACCUGAGGCUAAAAGCAGUGUCUUGAGGAUGGAAGAGCCAGGCGUUGGGAGGAACUGGGUAUCCUGAUGACCUGGAUGAACCAUCAGUUUUAAUCUCUUGGGACCUAAACAGACUUCCUAUCAUCUGAGAUAAAAAUAUCGUUGUUUUAAAGGCUGGGUUAAGCUCAGCAUUCUGUUACUUGCAGUAGAAACCUUUCUAGUGUAUACGGGAGGACGAUUUGUCUAUAAUAAGUGAAUGCCAUACUAAUGUACCUCCUUUUCCCUUACCUGUCUGCAGGUCACUGUCCUACACUUCUGACAAAGGUGGCCACUUAACUCUGACUACCUCUUAGUCCUGAGAAGACUUUGGAACUCAAAAGCUAAGAAGACUAAGGGACCAUGUUGGAAAUCAAACUUUGCAAUUGGAUUCCAGAUGAAUGCCAUUCCAAACAAUUAUCGAGCCAAAAUUCCCUCCAUAAAGAUGCUGUAUUUACACACACUUCUUCUUUUUCUAAUUUUUUAAUUUGUUCUUUUUAGUUGUAUAUGACAAUAGAGUGUAUUUUGACAUAUCAUACAUACAUGGAAUGUAACUUCCAUUCCUCUGGUUGUACAUGAUGUGGAGCUACACUGGUCGUGUAUUAAUAUAGGAACAUAGGAAAAUUAUGUCCAAUUCAUUCUGCCCUCUUUCCUAUUUUUCAUUCCCCUCCCUUACCUUCAUUACCCUUUGUCUAAUCCAGUGAACUU